rnacentral:rRNA from 1 species
GAGGGAAACCGAGUCUUAAUUGGGCGUUAAGUUGCAGGGUAUAGACCCGAAACCCGGUGAUCUAGCCAUGGGCAGGUUGAAGGUUGGGUAACACUAACUGGAGGACCGAACCGACUAAUGUUGAAAAAUUAGCGGAUGACCUGUGGCUGGGGGUGAAAGGCCAAUCAAACCGGGAGAUAGCUGGUUCUCCCCGAAAGCUAUUUAGGUAGCGCCUCGUGAAUUCAUCUCCGGGGGUAGAGCACUGUUUCGGCUAGGGGGCCAUCCCGGCUUACCAACCCGAUGCAAACUGCGAAUACCGGAGAAUGUUAUCACGGGAGACACACGGCGGGUGCUAACGUCCGUCGUGAAGAGGGAAACAACCCAGACCGCCAGCUAAGGUCCCAAAGUCAUGGUUAAGUGGGAAACGAUGUGGGAAGGCCCAGACAGCCAGGAUGUUGGCUUAGAAGCAGCCAUCAUUUAAAGAAAGCGUAAUAGCUCACUGGUCGAGUCGGCCUGCGCGGAAGAUGUAACGGGGCUAAACCAUGCACCGAAGCUGCGGCAGCGACACUGUGUGUUGUUGGGUAGGGGAGCGUUCUGUAAGCCUGUGAAGGUGUGUCGUGAGGC